rnacentral:rRNA from 1 species
CUACGGGUGGCACCAGUGAGGAAUAUUGCACAAUGGGGGGAACCCUGAUGCAGCAACGCCGCGUGGAGGAUGACGCAUUUCGGUGUGUAAACUCCUUUUAUAUGUCAAGAAAAUGACGGUAGCAUAUGAAUAAGCACCGGCUAACUCCGUGCCAGCAGCCGCGGUAAUACGGAGGGUGCAAGCGUUACUCGGAAUCACUGGGCGUAAAGGACGCGUAGGCGGGUUGGAAAGUCAGGUGUGAAAUCCUACAGCUUAACUGUAGAACUGCACUUGAAACUUCUAAUCUAGAGUAUGGGAGGGGGAGAUGGAAUUAGUGGUGUAGGGGUAAAAUCCGUAGAUAUCACUAGGAAUACCUAAAGCGAAGGCGAUCCCCUGGAACAUUACUGACGCUAAGACGUGAAAGCGUGGGGAGCAAACAGGAUUAGAUACCCCCGUAGUC